GUUUUGCACCGCAGGAUUAUAUCCUAAAAUCUGCAUUUUUAUUUUCUAACAAUAUGUUAAGUCUUCAGCACUUAAAUUCAUUUAAUCUGAAUUAGUUAGGUCUACACAAGAUGUGAAGUUUAUACAAUUCCAACUAACGGUCAACGUCGCAGCUCUGAUAAUCAAUGUAGUUGCUGCUGUCAGUUCUGGAAACGUGCCGUUGAAUGCUGUUCAGUUGCUGUGGGUUAACCUAAUUAUGCAUACUUUGGGUGCCCUUGCAUUGGCGACAGAACCACCUACAAACCAUCUUAUGGAGAGACCCCCAGUAGGGAGAAGGUAGUGAAUCACCAUCUAUCUUGUAGCAUUGUUUAAACUGUAUAUGUUCGGAAAUUGUACACACUACUUUCACUGAUCACAAAUCCAUUGGACAUAGAAUUAGGAUUUUAGAAGCUCCAUGAUUUUGUUUUGCCUUCAAAGAAGUAUGCUGACGUGAUCAUUCCUCGAGGUGGUGAUAACCGUGUAGCAGUUGAUCUGAUUGUUCAACAUAUCCGUACAAAACUUGGUUAGCAAGACUUGUGCAAAAUCUAUCCAAAUGUUCAUGUUGUUCAAUCAACUUUUCAGAUCCGAGGAAUGCAUACUCUUAUCCGUGAUAGGGACAUCACCACACCUGACUUCGUAUUUCAUUCAGAUCGAUUGAUCGGUUUG